rnacentral:misc_RNA from 1 species
GGCCAAGCCGUGUGGGGUGCGCCUGAGCGGGGAAGCCCGCAAACAGGUGGAGGUCUUCAGACAGAAUCUUUUCCAGGAGGCUGAGGAAUUCCUCUACAGAUUCUUGCCACAGAAAAUCAUAUACCUGAAUCAGCUCUUGCAAGAGGACUCCCUCAAUGUGGCUGACUUGACUUCCCUCCGGGCCCCACUGGACAUCCCCAUCCCAGACCCUCCACCCAAGGAUGAUGAGAUGGAAACAGAUAAGCAGGAGAAGAAAGAAGUCCAUAAGUGUGGAUUUCUCCCUGGGAAUGAGAAAGUCCUGUCCCUGCUUGCCCUGGUUAAGCCAGAAGUCUGGACUCUCAAAGAGAAAUGCAUUCUGGUGAUUACAUGGAUCCAACACCUGAUCCCCAAGAUUGAAGAUGGAAAUGAUUUUGGGGUAGCAAUCCAGGAGAAGGUGCUGGAGAGGGUGAAUGCCGUCAAGACCAAAGUGGAAGCUUUCCAGACAACCAUUUCCAAAUGGAUUACCGGGCCUUGGUGCAUGAGCGAGAUGAGGCAGCCUAUGGGGAGCUCAGGGCCAUGGUGCUGGACCUGAGGGCCUUCUAUGCUGAGCUUUAUCAUAUCAUCAGCAGCAACCUGGAGAAAAUUGUCAACCCAAAGGGUGAAGAAAAGCCAUCUAUGUACUGAACCCGGGACUAGAAGGAAAAUAAAUGAUCUAUAUGUUGUGUGG